UACGUAGGGUGCAAGCGUUGUCCGGAAUUAUUGGGCGUAAAGAGCUCGUAGGCGGUCUGUCGCGUCUGCUGUGAAAACUCAGGGCUUAACCCUGAGCUUGCAGUGGGUACGGGCAGACUAGAGUGCGGUAGGGGAGACUGGAAUUCCUGGUGUAGCGGUGGAAUGCGCAGAUAUCAGGAGGAACACCGAUGGCGAAGGCAGGUCACUGGGCCGCAACUGACGCUGGAGGAGCGAAAGCAUGGGGAGCGAACAGG
rnacentral:rRNA from 1 species